rnacentral:rRNA from 1 species
UACGGGGGGGGCAAGCGUUUUCGGAAUUACUGGGCGUAAAGGGCUCGUAGGCGGCCAACUAAGUCGGAUGUGAAAUCCCCAGGCUUAACCUGGGAACUGCAUCCGAUACUGGAUGGCUUGAAUCCGGGAGAGGGAUGCAGAAUUCCAGGUGUAGCGGUGAAAUGCGUAGAUAUCUGGAGGAAUACCGGUGGCGAAAGCGGCUCACUGGACCACAACUGACGCUGAUGCGCGAAAGCUAGGGGAGCAAACAGG